GUGCCAGCAGCCGCGGUAAUACGUAGGGUGCGAGCGUUAAUCGGAAUUACUGGGCGUAAAGCGUGCGCAGGCGGUUAUGUAAGACAGAUGUGAAAUCCCCGGGCUCAACCUGGGAACUGCAUUUGUGACUGCAUGGCUAGAGUACGGUAGAGGGGGAUGGAAUUCCGCGUGUAGCAGUGAAAUGCGUAGAUAUGCGGAGGAACACCGAUGGCGAAGGCAAUCCCCUGGACCUGUACUGACGCUCAUGCACGAAAGCGUGGGGAGCAAACAGGAUUAGAUACCCUGGUAGUCCACGCCCUAAACGAUGUCGACUGGUUGUUGGGAAUUAGUUUUCUCAGUAACGAAGCUAACGCGUGAAGUUGACCGCCUGGGGAGUACGGCCGCAAGGUUGAAACUCAAAUAAAUUGGCGG
rnacentral:rRNA from 1 species